rnacentral:misc_RNA from 1 species
AUGGUGAAGAAUCAGAGAUUGGCAGAAAAAUUGAUUAAAGGAAAGAUAUAUGACUGUGUCUGCAGAUAUGAACCGGCUAGCUGAGAGCUUCUUAUCAAGUUAAAGUCAUCAGUAUAUCGUCAUUUUAAUUUUGUGCUAAGAAAUCAACAGGCAACUGUUGUGCAGAACAACAAAAAACCUGUGACAUGACCUUUAAGAUUGAUGUGCCAAUUCACCUUGACGUGGUUGGAUCCAUGGAGAGCCUGGCAUGAGUUCAAUACUUUCAAUACGAAGGCAAAAUAAAUGGAAGAAAAAACAACAACAGUCCAGUAGUCCUUGCUUCCUCUCUCUCACUCUCUCUCUCUCUCUAUAUAUCUCUAUGCAUAUUUAUUUGGGUUAUGUAUAAGCAGCGUUGAGCCAAUCACCUCAGGUUUCAGUGGAGCACUGUCCUUGAGAUGGUUUCUCCA